rnacentral:rRNA from 1 species
GUUCAAAGCAGGCCACACGCCUUGAAUAAGUUAGCAUGGAAUAAUAAUAAAGGACUUCGGUUCUAUUUUGUUGGUGUUCGGGACUGAAGUAAUGAUUGAUAGGGACAGUUGGGGCGGUCAGUAUUCCAAAGCGAGAGGUGAAAUUCUUAGACCUUCGGAAGACUAACAGCUGCGAAAGCGUUCCGCAAGGAUGUUCCCUUUGAUCAAGAACGAAAGUUGGGGGAUCGAAGACGAUCAGAUACCGUCGUAGUCUCAACUAUAAACUAUACCAGCUAGGGAUCGGCCAACGUUGAUUCAAAAAGACUUGGUCGGCACCUUAUGAGAAAUCAAAGCAUCUGGGUUCCGGGGGGAGUAUGGUCGCAAGGCUGAAACUUAAAGGAAUUGACGGAAGGGCACCACCAGCCGUGGAGCCUGUGGCUUAAUUUGACUCAACACGGGGAAACUUACCAGGUCCAGACAUGAGAAGGAUUGACAGAUUGACAGCUCUUUCUUGAUUUUAUGGGUGGUGGUGCAUGGCCGUUCUUAGUUGGUGGAGUGAUUUGUCUGGUUAAUUCCGUUAACGAACGAGACCCCAGCCUGCUAAAUAGCGCGCGUGGCCUCUGGCCGCGGCGAGCUUCUUAGAGGGACUACGGCUCGCUAUAGACCGGGGAAGUUUGGGGCAAUAACAGGUCUGUGAUGCCCUUAGAUGUUCUGGGCCGCACACGGGCUACACUGACGCGUGCAACGAGCAUACCAGCUGGCCCGACAGGGUGUAGGCUAAUCUUUUGAACUCGCGUCGUGCUAGGGAUCGACGAUUGCAAUUAUUCGUCGUGCAACGAGGAAUGCCUUGUAAACGCGAGUCAUCAACUCGCAUUGAAUACGUCCCUGCCCUUUGUACACACCGCCCGUCGCUCCUACCGAUGAAUGUUCCGAUGAAAUUCUCGGAGGGCGCCUGUGAAGCCGGUUAUGCCGGCGGAACGGGAGGCCCGAAGUCGCUUAAAUCUGAACAUUUCGAGGAAGGAGAAGUCGUAACAAGGUUUCCGUAGGUGAACCUGCGGAAG